rnacentral:piRNA from 1 species
UCUAACUGAUGCCGUGGCUAUGCAGAAC